rnacentral:lncRNA from 1 species
CAUAUUCUCUGCAUCUGUAUUUAUUUAAAAAUGCUUUUGCAACCUGACACUGUUCAGCUUUUUUAUCUUUUACCAGUAUUUGGGGACUUAUUGGGGAUUCCUUUGAUAAUUUCAGGAAGAAAGAAGUGGAAUGGAAGGAGCCAGUAACUGUCCCAGGUCAGAAAACGCCUCUGAAAAGGAUCUACAUUACACCCAAAGUUCAUUGGAUAACUGCACCCUCAACAAUCAGGAGACAAUAAGUGGUGUAGACAGAGCUAAUAUCUUCCCCAAAUCAGAUGGUACCUCUGAAGACAUUCAGCAUUCCACAGACUGUUCACAGGUUGAGACUUUCCACAUUCAGGAGACAAUAAGUGGUACGAACCAAGCCAGUAACUGCCCCAAAUCAGAUGGUGCCUCUGAAGACAAUCAGCAUUGCACAGACAGUUCACAGCAUGACAGUAUCUUCCACAUUCAGGAGACAAUAAAGGGUACGAACCAAGCCAGUAACUGCCCCAAAUCAGAUGGUGCCUCUGAAGACAAUCAGCAUUGCACAGACAGUUCACAGCAUGACAGUAUCUUCCACAUUCAGGAGACAAUAAAGGGUAUGAACCAAGCCAGUAACUGCCCCAAAUCAGAUGGUGCCUCUGAAGACAAUCAGCAUUGCACAGACCGUCCACAGCAUGACAGUAUCUUCCACAUUCAGUGGCUCUUGAUGUAGAACCACCCAUAGAUCCUUCUGCAAAAGAAGUCCAGAAAUCUUCAAUUGAACAAGCAACAGAAAUAACAAGUACCACAACUACCAUGAAAGGUACUGUUUGUUAAACUUCAUAGAAAGCCUUUAUGAACUUAAAAAUCUCUGUUUUUUCUGAUGUGCUUUGUUCAUUCAGGUCGAAAGGUGGUAAAGAAAAAGAAAUGGGACAGUGAUGAAAUGAAUGCAGUUGAAAAGCAUCUAAACAGGUUCAUCAAAACUUGUACAGUGCCAGGAAAACAACAAUGUGAGGCCUGUAUAAAUGCUGAACCUGUUGCCUUGAAAGACAGGGAUUGGUUGUCUGUAAAGUUCUUUGUGAAGAACAAAAUCACUACCCUUAAAAGAAGAAUGUAAAGUCAGUUAUUUUAUUUUGUUUGGUAUCUUAUUUUCUGGUAUUUUAGAUUUCUGGUUAUUACAUUUGUUUUAAAAGGAUCUUAGAAUCUCUUUUUUUUUUUUUUGGAAAUGGGUGCAAUUCAGU